GCAAUAUUCCGCGGGCACGGUACCAGGGGAGUUUUGCAAAAUAACCCUCUCUCCCAGCCGGGAGCUCACUGCAUCUCCCUUACCACCAGAGCUGAAGGAUUACGCACAGCCCUGCGUGCCUAUCCAAAGCCAGAGACCGAAAAUCCUGGUUUGAACCCCACACUCGCCGGCCCCCCAGCCCCCAUUCAUAAUCCCAGCGGCCGUCUGCCACUACACACCCUCCCCCGGCCGCCCGCGCUCUUUCCCAUUCGCCGUCCCUGGAACGUGUCAGUCACUCGCUGUGCAUCUGCCAUGAAUACAAGACGAAGAGCUCUGCAGCUACUGGCUGCACAAAGAGGGACUGGGGCGCAGGGGACGCAGACCCCCGGGUUGGGGGAGGCGAGAGAGCCAGCGGGGCACAUUACGUGGAAGGAGCCAGUGGGACCGUGGGAGUCCUCUGGUCUCCUGUUGCACAAAGGAGCGCCAGAGUGAAUACGCGCAGUGCUCCUGAACCAACAGGUCAGAUCACCUCCCAAGAGGUGCUCCACCAAGACACCCCUGAAGAACUGGGGAGCAGAGAACUACUGGAAAAGGAUCUUCUGGACAUAAUUCCCUUCAGAGUCUCAGAGGAACUCACAUUCUGUAUGGGACCUAGCUUCUCCAAGAAGAGACACCCACCCAAGAUGUAGAAGACAAGAGU
rnacentral:lncRNA from 10 species